AAGGCAGGAAAGGACAACGGCUUUUUCCCUAUGGUUCCCUCCUGUUUCUUUGUCGCCAUGCUGGCCCCUAUGGUGUUGGCUCUGGAACAGUCACCAGAUGUAGUGAUACGACAAGACCAACCCGUGAAUCUGAGCUGUUCCAAGAAGAAAUCCUCCAGCACAGCCAUGUACUGGUACAGGUUGCCUUUGGGGAAGGACUCCAGGCUGAUCCUAGUGGCUUCUGUAUUUCAAGGUGCUAAAGCAAAUGUUGAAGAGGAUCUUCAAAGCCGUUUCAAGAGCAGUGAGAUACUAGGAGACGGGAUGACCCUCUUGAUAGACCAUGCCUUUCUCAAUGACUCCGGCAUGUAUUACUGUGCUGAGAAUGAAACACAGUGGCUAGGCUAUGAAGAGGUGACUUUCGGUGAUGGCACAAAACUUACAGUAAUGGGGAAGAAUGAUGAAAUCAUACCUCCAUCUGUGGCCAUCUUUUCUCCAUCAAAACAAGAGAUCCAACAGAAGAGUAAGGCCACACUUGUAUGCCUAGCCUCUGGCUUCUACCCUGACCACUUGAAACUGGCCUGGAAGCUGAAUGGUGCUGAGAUGUCAGAAGGGGUGGGGACUGAUGAGUUUUCCACAUGGAAUGGGAGUACCUACUCACUGACCAGCAGAUUGAGGAUCUCAGCCCAGGAAUGGUUCAACCCUUUGAAUCGUUUUGAGUGUGUAGCCAGUUUUUUUAAGAAUGGAACACAGGAAUCUAUGUACAAAUUAAUCUAUGGUGAUGCUGGUUGUGCGCUUACAGAAGAGUCCUACUUGUGGUAUGGAAAUUCUGUGAAGCUUACAUAUCUCAUUCUCUGUGGCAAAGCCUUGCUGUAUGCAAUUUUGUUGAGCAGUGUGAUGUGGACAGCCAAGGCUGGUGGGAAGUUGUACAGAGAAUGAAUGAAGAGUCCUCUUCAUGACGUCAGCAGGAGCACAAUCAAUUAUACUUUCUUGUUUUCCAUAGCUAAGAAUCUAUGCUUCUAUCUAAAACUUCUGAAUAUGAUUUCUUGGUGAUUCUGUCCCCCUCCCAUUCAUUCCACUUUGUUGUAGUUGCUGCUGGGUUUUCCCUAUACUUUCAUAUCAUAUUGUAUUGUAUUGUACAGUAACAUACUUUUAAAGUUAACACUUUCUUAAUGCUCCAUGGCUGAGAAGCCAGCUCCUUGAAUUAAUAAUAAAGUUUUAGCUUCCUUUCCAUUCAAGAAGUAUGGGUUGUUAUGUUUUUAAUUUAGUCUUU